GUCAACGGCCAUACCACGCAGAAAAACCUGGUCUCGUCAGCUCCCAGAAGUUAACCUGCGUCGGGUACCGUUAGUACCUAGAAGUUUGACCGCUUGGGAAUACGGGAUGCUGUUGGCA
rnacentral:rRNA from 1 species